AUCCGGAGGGUGCAAGCGUUGUUCGGAAUUAUUGGGCGUAAAGAGCAUGUAGGCGGACUGUUAAGUCUGGUGUGAAAGCCCGGGGCUCAACCCCGGAAGUGCAUUGGAUACUGGCAGUCUUGAGUAUGGGAGAGGAAAGUGGAAUUCCGAGUGUAGGAGUGAAAUCCGUAGAUAUUCGGAGGAACACCAGUGGCGAAGGCGGCUUUCUGGACCAAUACUGACGCUGAGAUGCGAAAGCGUGGGGAGCGAACAGGAUUAGAUACCCCUGUAGUCC
rnacentral:rRNA from 1 species